UUACUGAAAGGAGGAUUAUGUACUAGUUGAGUUUCAAAUGAAGAAUGAUGAUGAACUUAUGAUGGCUAAUGGGAUAGAGAAAACAGUGGCGCAUAUGACGAGUAGUGAGAGUAAAGAGAUGAGAAGAAAGGUUAAAGAGAUGAGCAUGAGGAGCAGAGAAGCUUUCAUAGAGAAUGGAUCUUUUUUUGCUUUGCUUGGGAAAUUAGUUAGUGUUGUGUUAGGUAGUACUAAUUAAUUGAUAUAAUUUUUCUUUUUUUUUUAAAGAAAACAUUGU
rnacentral:lncRNA from 1 species